rnacentral:lncRNA from 1 species
UUGGAUCCGUUGGUUCAAUGGCCACGAUCUCCCUGAGUAUGAGUUUGUUGGCUCGCUUGGAUGCGGUGCCUGGAAUACUGCCGAAAAUGACGUUGAAAGUUUUGGAGGCGGUCUGGAAGUCGCCUUCUUCGUCUUCGUCAUUGUGGGCUUUGUUCUUGCCCUUAUCCUUUUUCUUGGUGUACUCCUCAGGGGGUGGUGGUGUGAGUAAGUCUUGUAUUACUCGGCGCAUGCUGUAGCAGUCUAUUGCCGAGUGCUUGCUAGUCGGGUGCCAUGGGCACUGCUUUUUGAGUAGUUUAGUGAAGGUUGGCCCUUCAUCAUUUUUAUGGGGUCCCUUUUUCCCAGAGUUGGUCAUGGCAGCAACAGUGUUGUCGGGCUUCCUUUUGCGAUUGUGAUUACUCGAAUAGUUGUUUCGAGUACCAUUAUGUCG